AUGGCUGCUGCUGCGGCGGCGGCGGAGUGGUUCAUCCUGUACGCCAUCCCGAAGGUGGCAGCGCAGGAGGAUGAUAGCAUCUUCGAGCAGCCCACCAACAUUUCCUUCACCUUCAGAAAAGCUCCGUGCCCCUCCUACGUAACCGUCGCGAGUAACGUCGUCUGUCCCGACGGCAUCAUCCACUACCCCUACAUCGCCGCGGACGACGGCCGCGGCAUCUUUCUCCUCUGCGGUUACACCGUGCUUGGGCUCACCUACUACCUCUUCGACCCCUGGCGCCGCAGGACGCUGGGCCGGGCUAAAAAUGCAAUCGGGUCCUUAGUUUUUCUUAAAAAAGCAAUCGGGUCCUCCGCCUCCGAUGACGUGCUCCUGCGCGUUCGCCGGCACGACGCGCUCCAGUCCAGUCCAAAAGCCGGCGCCGCCACGGCGCCGUCGAUGCUGACGAUCGCCUCCGCGCCCCCUCGCUUGGCCAAUGCCGCCAGCACCGCCGCCGCCGUCUCCUCGUCGCUGAUGGCCGACAGCGCCGCCUCGGCCACGCCGGCUUCCACCAGCUUCCCCACGUUCUCCCUCUCGCCCGCCAGCGACAGCAGCGCCGCCAGCGCGUCCUUCUUUGUGCUCGUCGGGCCCGUGCGCACGAGGUGGACCAGCUUUUCCACGACGGACGGGUUCCGGCCGAGCCUGCGGCGGUACGUGUGGACGGACGCCAGGCUAAGCACGGCCGCCGCGGCGUUCUCCUUGGCGCGCCACGUCGUGCCGGAGCUCAUGAUGUGGGUCACCGCCUCGACGGCGCCGUCGGCGUGCAUGAUGCGCUUCUUGUUGGCCUCGAGGAUGGAGAGGCACCGGGACGUCGCCGGCCUCGUCCGCAGCGGCGGCGGCGACCGCCUCAUGAUCGCCGAGCUCAACACGUGGCUCCUCGACGACCGUGGCUCCGUCACGAUCCACUGCACGGUCGACAUGUACGGCUGGGACGAGAAGAAGUGCAAGUGCUCCGGCAUCACGGCCAAGAGACCGUGGCACGGAGACGGCGUCCUGUCCCACCAAGGUUUCCUCUGGUGGUUCGGUCUCUCCUAUUGCAUCCUCGCCUGCGACCCCUUCGCCGAGGUGCCGGAGUUUUACCAGAUCAUGUUCCCGUCCGUCCCUGACGCGCUGCCCUUCGGCUGGAACCGCGACAUACACCGCUGCUUAAAGGUGAGCGACGGCCAGCUGCGCUACGUUCAGAUCCAUGGUGCAUCUGAGAAGCCGGUGGUCAGCAUCUGGACGCUGUCAUCCAGUGAUCCGUCAAAGGCGACAUGGGGAAGGCCGAUCAGCCACCCCUUGGAUGUGGUUUGGGAGGACAGCAGCUACAGUGAUGAUGCCCGGUUGCGUCCGGGGGUCGUCCCUGCUGUGGCGCUGGUCCACCCAUGA
rnacentral:rRNA from 1 species